rnacentral:lncRNA from 1 species
GUAGAAGCCAAUGAACAUUCCUGAGGACCUACUGGGCUCCAGACAGCGCCUAAGAUGAGCUGUGAAAGCCACAAGAGUUGGCAGUGAUAUUAUCCCACCGACAAAUGAGGACACAGCUCAGUGAGGACAAAUGACCCCCUACAUUCACUCAGUGUGGAAGGGGAGGAGCCGGCACUCGGAUUCAGCCAGCCCUGCCCGGCUCCACAGGGCGUGCUCUUUCCACGGCACCGCAAUGCACAAUCCGACACCAGGGAGCAGCCCCUCCAGGAAAGUCAGAACUCGCCCUGCGGUGUCCACUCCUCCAUCCACAGCCCCCCAGGGUCAUUCCACCCGUUUCCUUUAUAGUUUGCCAUUGGCCCAGUUCAGUUCCGGUGGCACUGCCCGUCCCGGAUGCAGGCCAAAGACGGGCCAGGCUUUCAUAGCAGAGAUGAAAGGCAGGGGAGCUGUGUGCACGAGGACGCUGACGAGCCAGACAGAGAGGAGGUCUGUCCACACCGGCCGCCACCGCUGCACAGGGAGGGGACUGCCAACAGACAGCCGUCCCCAGAGCGGGCUGCAGGAGCGCCGGGCCGGCCAAGCCACCAUGCACGCCUCCCACACACAGCCUGCAGCCCCAGGAAAUGGAGGUUUGAGACCGCAAGCAUAAAUGUCCAGGAGGGCUGACCGGCCCCUCUAUUUCUUCCCUCUUUUUUUCUCUCUCUCUUUUCCAGCAAAGCCAGCAAUUGAGAACUCCACAUGACAGAUUCCUGUGGCUAAAAGGGGCCUCUUGAGGUCAUCGACCCUGUUCCCCCACAUCAAGACAAGCCUGUCCUGAAGCUACUCAGAGGCUGGCCACAGUCCUCAUUACAGGAUCUGGAGGAGAGGCUGCCACCUCCUUUGUUGCUACCAGGGCAGCCUCGCCUUCUGUCUCACAGCACUCGUGACAUUUAAUUUUCCUCUUUUAGUCCAAUAUCUGUGUCCUGGCUCAUGACUGUGAGCGCCUAAGGCGAGGGACCCUGUUGUAAUCUUCUCUGUAUCUUCAGAACUUAGCAUAAUGCCUGGUCCAGUGGGGCUACUUAGUAAAUGAUGGUGGGUGGGUGGGUGAGUGGAUGAGUGGACAGGUGCAUAGAUGAGUGUGUGGA